GAUGAACGCUGGCGGCGUGCCUAACACAUGCAAGUCGAGCGGCAGCGAGGGGUGCUUGCACCCUGUCGGCGAGCGGCGGACGGCUGAGUAACGCGUGGGAACGUGCCCCAAAGUGAGGAAUAACUGCCCGAAAGGGUAGCUAAUACCGCAUAUUAUCUUCGGAUCAAAGGAUUUAUCCGCUUUGGGAGCGGCUCGCGUCGGAUUAGGUAGUUGGUGAGGUAAUGGCUCACCAAGCCGACGAUCCGUAGCUGGCCUGAGAGGAUGACCAGCCAGACUGGAACUGAGACACGGUCCAGACUCCUACGGGAGGCAGCAGUGAGGAAUCUUCCACAAUGGGCGAAAGCCUGAUGGAGCAACGCCGCGUGCAGGACGAAGGCCUUCGGGUUGUAAACUGCUUUUAUAAGUGAGGAAUAUGACGGUAACUUAUGAAUAAGGAUCGGCUAACCACGUG
rnacentral:rRNA from 1 species